UCUUCCUUCUUCCGGCUCCACGAAACCCACCUCUGUUCUUCAUGUGAGAAGAAGCCCGAGCUCACCCACUUCGAAACCCACAUCUGUUCUUCAGUUUUCCUUUCUUUCUUUCUGAUUUUUCUUCAUCUAUUCGAUUCCUCCUUCCUCAGAUCUCUCUCUCUCUCUCUCUCUCUCUCUCUCUCUCUCUCUCUCUCUUCUUGGUUCUCAAAAAAGGGAAAAGCAGCUUCCCUUCUCCAUCUUCCAACCCAACACGGCUAAGAAAUCUCAAUCCCCAAUCUCCAAAUUUCCCUCAAAAUUAAGCCAAAGCGGCGAAAGCCCAAUUCAUUUUAGGGAUGAGGCUGAAUUGGGGUGAGUCGAUUUGGUGGAGUUGGGUGACUCAAAGCCUCAAACAAUCAAACUCAUCUCUUGAUUCAAAACCCAGAAACUCACCUCAAAUCCCCGAGGGUGGGUCGGUGAUUGGAGGGUGGUUCGGUGACAAUUGCGGCGACGGAGGGACAGAGAAGACGUCCUGAUCGUUCAUCUAUGCUCUUUCUUUACAAGUGCAUGUCUAGCCCUCUGAAGUCUUGCAGAAUUAUAUAGACACAGGACUUCAAAUGGCCUAGCUUUACCAAACUAUAAUGCAGGGUGAUGCCUGACAAAUCUUCUCGUGGUAAAAGGCCUCCCUUUCCAUUGCUCAAUAAGGAAAUUAAGAUAAUUGUUGGUGAGCCAAUGGAAUUUGACAUACCUAAAAUGAGGCAGGUGGCUACCUCUCUGUCUCCUAAAAUGUCACAUCCUUCUUUAGGAUGGCCAAGCCUUUGCCCAGGUGCUUUGGAUGAGGCAACACAGAGAUGUCUUUACAGUGCAAUUUCAGAGAAAAUCCAAAAUGCUUUGGAGAGAUUACGAAUUUUUGGUAAAAGUUUUACAAACUCAAAAGAUCAAAAUCCUUGCUAGUUUUUGUUUUGUUACAGAGUAUGUCAGAGUAGUGCGUUUUGAGUCUUUUGACCAUCUUAACCAAGAUAUAAUGGUACACAAGGAGUGCCAUCUCUUUUGUCGAGGCUUCAAUCACUUGCCAAGUUCAGUUUUAAGGAACAUAAAAUUCUUCCAGCUCCAUUCAAUGGUAUUACACAGAUACAGUCGAACUAAGAUUUGUAGUUGAUUCAUAUGACUGGUAUUGUGAAUUCAUUUACAGGGGUGUUAGCAAUAUUGCCCAUUUUUGUAGUUGAAUACAUUCACAUUCAAGAAGAGAGAACCAUUACUGUCUCAUCUGAAUUUUUAUGGAUAAAUUGAUGUUUUUGUUUC